GUCAGAAUACGCUCCUCUGACUCACCUGUAAGUGGGCUGGGAGUGCUGGAACCCCUACCUAAGCACCGCCUGGGGCGGGAGGCGGGGCGGGGGUAAUCAGAAGAAAAAAAGCCCUGGAUGAGAUUAGGGGUCUCAUUUUACGGUACCCCAACUCUGCGGAAGGAAACACUCCGCUGGCCCUGGACUUGGCCCCGAAGGCCGCGCCCCUCUUCAGGGACUCUCGGUUGAGGGGCGCUCAAGCCUCCCUCUGGAUUUCCAUCCUGCGCUCAGAAGUUCCUGAUGACGAAUUGGGAUCAGUAUACAUGGCUGGCGUCAUUGUGAUUUGGAGUCCUUUCCUGCUACAGGAAGGGAGGGAGUGUGAGGAAAAGAUGCUGUGGUUUGGAAACAACAAGCGAAAGCACCCCUGACAAAAAUUCCCCGGGCCAGAGGAAGACAAGGCACCUGGAGGCUGGGUCCAGGUUUAGGACCCCUUGGAUUGCAACGGGCUCCCCGCCGCUGGAGGGACAGGAGAGGUCAGAGUCUGAAUCGGAAGCCUUUUUUUAGAAGGCACCUCGCUGGAAAUGAGUCCCUCCUUCUGAACUCAUUUCUUCUCUGGGCUUUGUUCCAGCAAGAGUUGCUUUUUGAAACAGGAGAAGCCCCUGCACCCAAAGUGGGCCUCGGGGCUAAGCAGGACCAGUUGCCAGCCUGUAGGCUGCUCCUGACUGCUGAGGAGGCCCCUCCCAACCUCCAGGGAAAACCUCUGUGCUGCCUUAUCUCCAGGAAUCCACCCUCGGAGGCUCACGCCGAGCUGACGUCAAGAGGAGCCGCGCACGCACCUCAGAAAGCAAAAUUGGGGCGCAGGCUUCAAAGGCAGCGGCAUCUUCCUUCACAGCAGCUCUGAACAGUCGUCUGGUGUCUGUCUCUUUAAAUGCCUGUAUUUUAUUGUUCCAGAUGAUCAGUUCUUUAUGGGCAGCGACGGGAAGACAGCUGAGUGGUUCAUGAGUUGGUGGUUUAUAAAAUCAACACAAGCUUUUGUCUGUCUUUCUCUUUCUAAUCCACGCUCAUUCUUAUACUCAGGAGUAAAACAGAAGACAGAAGGUUGUCUUUUUACCCCAGUCUGUAUUUGGGGAUCCUCAUAGCUGACUGACAUAGACCAGGCGGCUAGACCAGGCCAGGAACAGGAAUAUCCCAUGAAAUUACUAGAGAAGGGUGUUCCUUGUUUUGCUUCCUAAAGUCAGAGCUCUGAGGGUGAGGAGUCCCUGCCCUGGGGGUCAGUCUGUCCUGAGAAGUCAUUGAAUCAAGGCAGGGUGGGGUGCAGCCACACCCCAUUGGCCUGAGACUGUGGGACUGGAUCCAGAUCUGCUACUUACUGCCUCUGUGACCCAGUGUGAGCCUUGGUUUCUUACUCCAUAAAAUGAGCAUUGCAGUUGUACCUACUGCAUACAGCUAUUACACAAUAAGUAUUAAAAACAGUGCUUAGUAAAUGUGCAAAGACGCAAUGUUAAAAAUGAAUGUGUGGUCCUUGAGUUUCCUAAUGGGGAAACUGAAAUUCAGAGAAUUGGGGCUAACAUAGUUCAGAGUCCAGUCCAGAACUCAGACCUCCUGGCUCACGGUUUGAAAUUUUUUGAUUAUUAUUAUUAUUAUGCACCAGUCAAAAGACUCCUGGAUGUCAUCAACCAUGUUUUUAAUUAGAGCAGGAGUUGUGACAAAAGACAUGGCCCUGGCUGGCUCAGGCUGCUCACAAUGCGUCCUCGGCCCCGGCAGCUUGGGAACCCCUGGAGAUGGGGGCUAGGUAGCAGCAGUGUAGACCCAGCCCUGCUUCCCCCUGCCCUGGGCUUCCUGCAGAAUUCUACCAGGGAAAAGCAGAGCAUUUUUUAACCUCAGGCCCCGCAGGACCAGUUCAACUGAUCCCAU
ensembl:lncRNA